UCGCCGCACUCCCGCUGUGUUUCUCCAAAAGUUACAGUCCAGCGGGUGGCCCACCAUCCAGCGCAGCUGCACACAACAGAGAAGGGAAAAUUAAACUCCCCGGGGGCUCCGCUGCCUUCUCUGGGAGUGACAAAGAUGCUUUCCCACUAGAAGCCCGGAAGCCUCCUCCUUUGCAAUCGGAUAAGGGCUGCAAUGAGCGCGACUCAUUCUUUUGAAGCCCCCUGCUAGGAAGAGCCAGUUGUGUUUGGGCCCGCGGUGCCUGGCCAUCCCCUUCCAGGCUGGAUUCUGCAGAGGUUUGCCUGUUGUGGACAUUUCACGAAAAUGGGAUUGUAUAAUGUGGAGUCUUUCGGGACUGGUCCUGGAUUUUCAUGUUAUUUCCAGGGUCAGUUCCUUCAGUUUUCGUGAAGAAGUAGGCCUGGUAGGACUCCAGUAAUUUACAUUUUUAAGGCGUUCAGGCUUCAGGAUGGAUGAUGAACUUUCAAAUAGGAAAGAAAUGUAAAAUCAUCAAAAUUACCAUAAACUUGUGCUGCCAACUGAAUGCGUGUUUCUUGUAGCAUAUACAGAGUAAAGGACAAUUUUAUUCCUGCAUUAUACAAUCCCCCAACAGCCUGCUAACCUACUGUCUUAAUCCAGGUGAUUCUUGAUUCUUUGUCUCAGAGCCUGAGACAAAGGUACACACAUUCUAUUUGGGAAUGUGAUCCCAGGGAACAGGAAUGAAAGAGAGAGGGGUAAAAUGGAAAGAAAAUCCAAGCAAAACAUGUAGUGUUAUGGGGUAGUCCACCACUAUUAAUGGGAAUUUAGUACAGGCAGAUCCUUCUCGGGAUUCUUAUUCAACUUUGUUUCAGAACCACCCACCCCUGGGGGAUGAAAGGGAGAAGCAUUUAUCUCUCAGCGGCCAUCUCCUCCAGCCAUCUCCUCCGUGCUGAGGGCUGCUCCCAUGGGGUGUUAACUUCUCCAUCCCUAUCAGUUGCAAAGACCGAAGAGCCUUCCAGGUACCAGAGCAUCACAUAUUGCCGCACCAGGGAAGUCUUGGGACAGGAAGCUAGAUUCUUGGUGCAUACCUGAAGUGAGGCACUAGCAGUACAGAUCAGGGCAAAACCUGCUCCAGCUGUGCACUGGAGCUGUGGCUGGAAUUGGAGGUUAUAGAGAUGUGGGACAGUGCACAAGAGGCAUCUUAUGAGCCUAUAGAAGGUGCUCUUAGCCUCAUCUAAAUCUGUAUCCUUCUUUCUAUAAUCAAAAUUUCAGUGUCCAGCACCUGGGUGGCUCAGUCGGUUAAGCAUCUGCCUUCAGCUCAGGUCAUGAUCUCAGGGCCAUGGGAUCAAGCCCCGCAUCGAGCUCCACGCUCAGCAUGGAGUCUGCUUGUCCCUCUCCCUCUCCUCCCCUGGCUCGCGUGUACACACGCUCUCUCUCUCAAGUAAAUAAAAUCUUUAAAAAGAAGUUUCAAUAUCCAGAACAGAAUUGGCAAAAGGGUUAAAUUAGGAAGGUUAAAUGUAUUAGAAGAUGUAUGUUAAUAAUAGUCCUAACCUGGAGUGAUGUUGAAUAGAAAUUGACAUUAGAACUUGGAAGAUUCAAAAAUGAUUCUACUUGAAAAAUUGGACCAUUGGAUAGAGAUAUUAGACAUUGUCUAAACUCAUGUAAUUUCAAAAAUAAUCCUGAAUUGUUUGGGGG